rnacentral:lncRNA from 1 species
AAACAACAAAUGAUGUAUUUUUAAUCUAACUAUCUGCCUAGAGAGGGAAAAUCUGAAGCUCUCAUGUAAGACUUCUGAUUUGUUCUCAUAUAAUCUAUGUUCAGAUCUUGACUACAUAUCACUAUACCAUUACCAACAUUACAUAGUAUUUCUUCUCCUCUCGCAUUUAUUUUCUUAUUUUCUUUUCUCUUUCGGUCUCUUUUUCACUAAAGCGUCACAUGUCAUUUUCUCCUUUCACUUAAUGGAAGAAACCAACAAACAACCAAUGCAACAUUCCUCAAUAUGUCAACCAUAUUUCUCUGCAGGAGACAGAGAUAAAAACUCCUACAAAUUACAUUAAACACCUCUAUACUUCAAUAAAUCAUUUCCAUAAUUUUCGUGAAUAAGUGUGCCAUGCUUGAGUAUUGUUUAAUCAUUUAGAUAACAACUGAAGUUUGUGAUUAUAUUACAUCUCAUUGAAUUAUAAUGUCUCUCCUUUCCUUGUGUUUGUUGUACUUUAUCUCUUUAGUUCAGCUUCUAAGUUUGUGGUGGCAUGAACCUCUUCACCUUGUGCAUAAAUUAUGUCUUUUUUAUGGUCUCUAAAAUAGGAGCUUAUUGAUUUGGGCAUUGUCUUAAUAGUGAAGCUCCAUUAAUUAUUCUAUUUGUAAAUAAUAUUCAUAUGGGAUGAGUUGUGAAAUAACCAUUAACUUUUAACAAUAAUCUAUGGGCAACUAGCAAUGUGAAGAAUGUGAAAAUAUGUUUGUGCUAUCUUGGAGGCAAUUUAGUUUCAUCUUAUCCAUUUGUUGGCUUUAGUUCUUGGUGCUCUAUAGGUGGCCUCCCACAGAAAUUUGACCACACUGUACCAGUUGUCUUCAUGUCACAAAGUUUUUAAAUUUGCUUGCAUAUUCUUUGAGGAAAAAUUAUGAAUAUAUGGGUACUCAACCUUCCAUUCAUCUUGCCUCUUUGUGGUUUAUCUUUAUAAAUUGUAGAUACAUAAAUAGCAGGCAUAAGUUAUAAUUAAUUAUAACUUCCUUCGGACAAUGCUUGCUACUCCCUCACCUAUGCCUUCUCUUAUUUUACUAUAGUAUAGGUGGAAGUUAGUGACAUUUAUCUUCAAGUUUGUCUUGAGAAGAUAGUUUUAAAUUCAUGUAGAAGGUAUCUUGCUAAUUCAUUUUUUUUUUUUUUUGCAGGUAGUAGUGAAGGUGAACAAAGGGAUGAAAACAAUGAAGGCACACCUUAGGGGCGAGGCUUAUGUUGAUAUCUUUGACACUAGCAUGUGUUCUAGUAAUCUUUUGUUUUUUUGACAAAACUUGUGUCUAACCUCUUGAAUGUUCAAGGAUUUUUUUGUAUAUUUUGCUUUAAUGAAUAUUAUAACUUGUCCUGGGAUCUUGGAUUGUAUUUGAUUAUGAAUAGUUAUUUCUCGUGUUUGAUAUAUAUACCUAUUGAAGAAAACUAUCAAAAU